rnacentral:rRNA from 1 species
GACGAACGCUGGCGGCGUGCCUAAUACAUGCAAGUCGAACGAAGCUGUUUUAACUGGUGCUUGCACCGACUUAAACAACUGAGUGGCGAACAGGUGAGUAACACGUGGGUAACCUGCCCCAAAGCGGGGGAUAACAUUUGGAAACAGAUGCUAAUACCGCAUAACCACAGAAACCACAUGGUUUCUGUGUCAAAGAUGGUUUCGGCUAUCACUUUGGGAUGGACCCGCGGCGUAUUAGCUAGUUGGUAAGGUAAUGGCUUACCAAGGCAAUGAUACGUAGCCGAACUGAGAGGUUGAUCAGCCACAUUGGGACUGAGACACGGCCCAAACUCCUACGGGAGGCAGCAGUAGGGAAUCUUCCACAAUGGACGAAAGUCUGAUGGAGCAACGCCGCGUGAGUGAAGAAGGUUUUCGGAUCGUAAAACUCUGUUGUCAGAGAAGAACGUGUGCGAGAGUAACUGCUCGUGCAGUGACGGUAUCUGGCCAGAAAGCCACGGCUAACUACGUGCCAGCCGCCGCGGUAA